rnacentral:rRNA from 1 species
GGGGUGCUCGAGUGGCGAACGGGUGAGUAACACGUGAGUAACCUGCCCUUGACUUUGGGAUAACUUCAGGAAACUGGGGCUAAUACCGGAUAGGAGCUCCUGCUGCAUGGUGGGGGUUGGAAAGUUUCGGCGGUUGGGGAUGGACUCGCGGCUUAUCAGCUUGUUGGUGGGGUAGUGGCUUACCAAGGCUUUGACGGGUAGCCGGCCUGAGAGGGUGACCGGCCACAUUGGGACUGAGAUAUGGCCCAG